rnacentral:tRNA from 1 species
ACUGCCUUAGCUGAGGUGAUUGAGCGUAGGAGUGCAAGUCCGGAGACCGCAGGUUCAAAUCCUGUCGGCAGUU